AUCUUUGCGCUUGGGGCAAUGACGCAGCUAGUGAGGUUGUACCGAGGCGCGUCAAUUGCUAGUUCAAAACUAUUUCUAAACCCCCUCUUUAGCCCUUCAGGGCCACUGAGAAUUUUGGAAGGGCUACCUCUCCUUUGGGCGAGGUUAAAGCC
rnacentral:snRNA from 1 species